rnacentral:rRNA from 1 species
UACGUAGGGCGCAAGCGUUGUCCGGAAUCACUGGCGUAAAGGGCGCGUAGGUGGUUUGAUAAGGGUGUGGUGAAAGCCCGGGGCUCAACCCCGGGUCUGCCGUGCCGACUGUCAAACUCGAGGCUGUAGAGGCAGACGGAAUUCCGGGUGUAGCGGUGGAAUGCGUAGAUAUGCGGAGGAACACCGAUGGCGAAGGCAAUCCCCUGGGCCUG